rnacentral:rRNA from 1 species
UACAGAGGCCUCGAGCGUUAGGCGGAAUCACUGGGCUUAAAGCGUGUGUAGGCGGACUGGUAAGUACCUUGUGAAAUCCCACAGCUUAACUGUGGAACUGCUCGGUAUACUGCUGGUCUUGAGCCACUCAGGGGCUACCGGAACAAAUGGUGGAGCGGUGAAAUGCGUAGAUAUCAUUUGGACCGCCAAUGGUGAAAACAGGUAGCUGGGGGUGUGCUGACGCUGAGACACGAAAGCCAGGGGAGCAAACGGG